rnacentral:rRNA from 1 species
UACGUAGGGUGCGAGCGUUAAUCGGAAUUACUGGGCGUAAAGCGUGCGCAGGCGGUUCGUUGUGUCUGAUGUGAAAAGCCCCCGGGCUCAACCUGGGAAUGGCAUUGGAAACUGGCGAGCUAGAGUGUGGCAGAGGGGGGUGGAAUUCCGCGUGUAGCAGUGAAAUGCGUAGAGAUGCGGAGGAACACCGAUGGCGAAGGCAGCCCCCCUGGGCUGAGAUUGACGCUCAGGCACGAAAGCGUGGGGAGCAAACAGG